rnacentral:ncRNA from 1 species
ACUAAGUGAGAAUCUUAGUGGUCGAAAAUCUAAGGUUUCCUGAGGAAGGUUCGUCCGCUCAGGGUAAGUCGGGACCUAAGCCGAGGCCGAAAGGCGUAGGCGAUGUACAAUCGGUUGAUAUUCCGAUACCACCAAACGACGUUAUCAGAAAUGGGAUGACGCAGAAGGAUAGGAUGUGCACACUAUUGGAUGUGUGUCUAAGCACUGAGGGUGAAUAAGCAGGUAAAUCCGCUUAUUCUUAAGCCUGGGGUGUUACGGGGAAGGAAAUUUAUUUCCGAAGUAUCUGAUUUCAUGCUGCCAAGAAAAGUCUCUAUCGAGGAGUUUGGUGCCCGUACCGCAAACCGACACAGGUAGAUGAGGAGAGAAUCCUAAGACC